UGGGAACGCGAAGAACCUUACCAGGGCUUGACAUCCUACUAAAGAAGCAGAGAUGCAUUAAGUGCCCUUCGGGGAAAGUAGAGACAGGUGGUGCAUGGUUGUCGUCAGCUCGUGUCGUGAGAUGUUGGGUUAAGUCCCGCAACGGGCGCAACCCCUAUUGUUAGUUGCUACGCAAGAGCACUCUAGCGAGACUGCCGUUGACAAAACGGAGGAAGGUGGGGACGACGUCAAAUCAUCAUGCCCCUUAUGUCCUGGGCCACACACGUAAUACAAUGGCGUUAAACAGAGGGAUGCUAAGCCGUGAGGUGGAGCGAACCCCUAAAAGCCGUCUCAGUUCGGAUUGCAGGCUGCAACUCGCCUGCAUGAAGUCGGAAUCGCUAGUAAUUGCGAAUCAGCACGUCGCAGUGAAUGCGUUCCCGGGUCUUGUACACACCG
rnacentral:rRNA from 1 species